CCUACGGGAGGCAGCAGUGAGGAAUAUUGGUCAAUGGGCGCGAGCCUGAACCAGCCAAGUAGCGUGAAGGAUGACUGCCCUACGGGUUGUAAACUUCUUUUAUAAAGGAAUAAAGUGAGGCACGCGUGCCUUUUUGUAUGUACUUUAUGUAUAAGGAUCGGCUAACUCCGUGCCAGCAGCCGCGGUAAUACGGAGGAUCCGAGCGUUAUCCGGAUUUAUUGGGUUUAAAGGGAGCGUAGAGGGGUUGUUAAGUCAGUAGUGAAAGUGGGCGGCUCAACCGUAAAAUUGCAAUUGAUACUGGCAGCCUUGAGUACAGUUGAGGUAGGCGGAAUUCGUGGUGUAGCGGUGAAAUGCUUAGAUAUCACGAAGAACUCCGAUUGCGAAGGCAGCUUACUAAACUGCCACUGACAUUGAUGCUCGAAAGUGUGGGUAUCAAACAGGAUUAGAUACCCGUGUAGUC
rnacentral:rRNA from 1 species